GACACCUUAGUCCCAGUGACCAAUAAAAUUAUUUUCUUUCAAUUGAAGAUACUCACAUCUGCUCUAACAACAUGAGCCUCUAUUAUCUGCUUUGUGCCGUGCUACUUCCCUUUAUACAGCCCAAGCUUCUCUGAACUGGGCCACUUCCUCCUCCCCAUUUCUUCCCAGCUCUAGUCUAAACUCCACUUGGAAGAUGUACUCUCCAUCUCUCCGUACCCCUCUUUAUUCCAUUUCAAGCCCUCCCACCUCUCAAGGAUCUUUGCUAAAGCCAAACAGGAAAAUAGGAGACAUUGGUUUUUAAUUAGUACUCGGAACUCUAAAAAUAAGUCCCAAAAAAACAAAG
rnacentral:lncRNA from 1 species